rnacentral:rRNA from 1 species
CCUACGGGAGGCAGCAGUAGGGAAUCUUCCGCAAUGGACGAAAGUCUGACGGAGCAACGCCGCGUGAACGAUGAAGGCCUUCGGGUCGUAAAGUUCUGUUGUCAGGGAAGAACAAGUGCUAGUUGAAUAAGCUGGCACCUUGACGGUACCUAACCAGAAAGCCACGGCUAACUACGUGCCAGCAGCCGCGGUAAUACGUAGGUGGCAAGCGUUGUCCGGAAUUAUUGGGCGUAAAGCGCGCGCAGGCGGUUUCUUAAGUCUGAUGUGAAAGCCCCCGGCUCAACCGGGGAGGGUCAUUGGAAACUGGGAAACUUGAGUGCAGAAGAGGAAAGUGGAAUUCCAAGUGUAGCGGUGAAAUGCGUAGAGAUUUGGAGGAACACCAGUGGCGAAGGCGACUUUCUGGUCUGUAACUGACGCUGAGGCGCGAAAGCGUGGGGAGCAAACAGGAUUAGAUACCCUGGUAGUCCACGCUGUAAACGAUGAGUGCUAAGUGUUAGAGGGUUUCCGCCCUUUAGUGCUGAAGUUAACGCAUUAAGCACUCCGCCUGGGGAUACGGUCGCAAGACUGAAACUUAAGAGUAGUGCGNGNGACGAGCGACGACGACGACGACGGAGGAG